rnacentral:rRNA from 1 species
GACGAACGCUGGCGGCGUGCUUAACACAUGCAAGUCGAACGGAAAGGCCCGUGCUUGCUGUGGUACUCGAGUGGCGAACGGGUGAGUAACACGUGGGUAACCUGCCCUGCACUUCGGGAUAAGUUCAGGAAACUGGGGCUAAUACCGGAUAGGAGCACCUCGUUGUUGGUGGGGUUGAAAGUUUUUCCGGUGUGGGGUAUGCUCGCGCCCUUUCUGCUUGUUGGGGGGGUAUUGGCCAACCCCGGCGUCGACGGGUGGCCGGCCUGGGAGGGUGUACGGCCACGUUGGGACAGAGAUACGGCACAGACUCCUGCGGGAGGAAGCAGUGAGGAAGAUUGCACAACGGGAGGAAGACGGAGGAAGCGACGGCGCGUGGGGGAGGACGGCCUUCGGGAUGCAGACUCCGCUCGCCAAGGACGGAUUGUGACGGUAAUGGGAGAAGAAGCACCGGCUAACUACGUG